rnacentral:rRNA from 1 species
UGGGGAAUAUUGGACAAUGGGGGCAACCCUGAUCCAGCCAUGCCGCGUGAGUGAUGAAGGCCUUCGGGUUGUAAAGCUCUUUUGGCGGGGACGAUGAUGACGGUACCCGCAGAAUAAGCCCCGGCUAACUUCGUGCCAGCAGCCGCGGUAAGACGAAGGGGGCUAGCGUUGUUCGGAAUUACUGGGCGUAAAGCGAGUGUAGGUGGUUUUCCAAGUUGGAUGUGAAAGCCUUGAGCUCAACUCAAGAAAUGCAUUCAGGACUGGGAGACUAGAGGACCGGAGAGGAUAGUGGAAUUCCCAGUGUAGUGGUGAAAUACGUAGAGAUUGGGAAGAACACCAGUGGCGAAGGCGGCUAUCUGGACGGUUUCUGACACUAAGACUCGAAAGCGUGGGGAGCAAAC